GGGUUUCCUUUCUCUGAACCGUAAAUUGGAAGCCCUGGUGCCUGAUCAUCUGCUAAAUCUCCAGUCCUCAGGGCUUCUUGGUGGAAAGCUCUGGAAGCACCCACCUGGCUGCAGAAGACCCUUGAGCAAAUGAUCUCACCAGAGGCUUUGCCCUGCAAGCCAUGCUGGGUUGAAGGGCAAAAGGAACCUACCAUAUUUGCAGGGUAACGGUGAUAUCACCCAGGCUAAGAGGACCUCAGCCUUUCCUCAAUCAUGUCAGGGCCUGAGCAGAGGGGAGCGGAUGAAGGAAUGGAGGGAGCAAAGGCAGGCAGCAUCGUGGUCCAGCCGUUUGGAAUUGUUUGCCCAAGUUCAGCAAGUAUUGCCUCUGCCCUCCCGCUCUGGAAGAAUGCUGCGGAGGGGGCAAAUGGCCCAGGGCCAGCGACCGCCAGGGCCAGACCUGCGAGCCCCCAAGGACGUUUUCUCUGGGAAGAUACCCUGCGGCAUUUGAAGGGGCAGAGUCUGGGAUACAGCAAAGAACAGAGUCCUCACUGGCUUGAAGCCUGGUGGGGGAGGGGCGGAGAACGAGACAGGCAGGGAAGCUCUUUGUCACAGUACACGUCGAGGUAGGUAGGACUCUGAUGGAUUUCAUUUUAGGAAAGAAGAAACCCAGAUCCAAGGAGAUCAGGUGACUUGUUUACAGUCGCACAGCCUUCUCCAAAGCAGGAAACAGGCUGUGGCCGUGAAGGUUGUGAUGACACAGCUAAGACAUCAGUGCCUUUAUGGGACUGAGAAGAGAUGCCCACUCUGCGUCAGUGCAGCCCUGUGCCAGCUUGGAUUUUAGCCUCAGCUUGCCCUUUAGGUGGCGCACGUUUUUGCAGAGAAAAUGUUCACGUCCAUACUGCUGAUGGGAAUUCAACUCUCAGCUUCAGAAGGAGGCUUUCCACCACGAAGACCUGCCAUUUACCUCUCUCCUCUUCCCCCUGCUCUUUGAAGCAAUCUCCUCAAGGAAUUGUCUGCAAAUAGCACUCAGGCAACUCACCCCACUUCUGAUCUGGGACUUUGGACAGAACUGCAGCAGCCCAUUCAAUCCAGGCAGGAAAUGGAAAACAGCAGCAGUGGUUGGGAAAAAGGCCCUGAGAUGGACACUCGGGUGGGAUCCAGCACAGGCAUCACUCCUUCCGGUGUCUUCUACAGCUUCCUGGUGUCGUCUGCUGUCUUCUGGCCAAUCUUGGAGCACUCCCAACCCAUCUCUGAGCCAGGAGUCAUUAAGCUGCUCUGACUGGAUCCAUGGACAUGAAGCAGAAUACUAAUGUCCUACCUGCUUUUUUUUUUUUUAAUGUCAACAACUCAACUUACUUUUUGGCUUUUUCUUUGCUGCAUUAAAAGUCAAUUUCUCUUAUGGACAGGAAGGUGACUCCAGCUUACCUGCGGCAGAACUGUAUGCGUCACACCGGCCCCCUGAUUACAGCUUUUAAGGGUUUCUGACUCAUCAGUGGCCAUUUGCAGGCGAGGGCCUCGUUCUUUUUGGGUUUGGAGAGAGUCUGCCCUUAGUUCUCAGCCUGUUUGAGAGGAAAUAAGAGACACCUCUGUACGCCUGCCUUUUCUGAACCAUAAGUGAGCCAACGCCACACAGUGGCCGAGAGGCCCCGGCUGGAUUGUCCUCUGAUGGAAUGUCAAGAGCUGCCUGUAUCUUUCCCAUGAAGGUUCUGCCAGGACGACGGACCUGAGCGAAGCCAGCCAGGAUGAUCAAAGAGCCCUUCAUAGUGGCUCAAAGGAGCUUAAGGUUCAGGAGACCACAAACCCUGGCCUCUGGGUGUAGAGACGCAUGGUAGCCGAAGAUGGGAGACGGCCCUGGUGGACGCCUCAAAGGCCAGAUGGAAAGUUCAUGAGGACAGAAUGCACAGCUUAAAAAAGGCUGGGACUUCCCAACACCCAGGGAAACCGGGAAGCUGAUGUCGGGGUCCCUGAAGAGCCAGUUUCCAACAGUUGUAGGAGCAAAAAGGAAGCGAAUCUCUGGGUGCCUCUAGGCUGUCUACUUGUUACUUCAACCUCAAAUAGGCCCGCAAAGACAGUGGCGGCUUCUCUCCAUCUGCCCUGCUCCUUCCUCUGCAAACAAAGAGAGGGUGACAUUCCAGGUGUGGACACGUCACGGAGUUUUCUGCCGAAGAUUCAGAGAUUCAUCGCCUUGAGGAAAUGAGUAAAAGGAGGGCAGAGCAAGGGAGGUGAAAACAGACUCUUCGCCACCUGCUAUUUAGUGAUUAGCUCCCAGAUAAGGAAGACAGAGAUGCAUUCCAGGAGCUCAGGACUUGCCCAGACGGAGCUUGCUUGCAGGAAAGGAGGGCUUGGGGAAAAGUGAAGCCGAAAAGAGGGGGUAGGGGGCCCCCUAAAACCACCGCCCACCACCUUUGCUCAGAGCCCCUGUGUGCCAUGCAGCGCUGAUACGCACACGGCCUUCACUUACCGGCUUUUUCGUUCACCUCACCUCACCUGCUUUGGUUUAUGUAAAGGAAUCUUACAAAGCGGUGCCACAAAAUAGCUGUGUGACCCUGAGCACAUCACUUACCUUCUCAGAUACAGGUCUCGUGGCUGCUACCUCUUGAAUUUAAAUAGAUGCCAGCCAAAGCAUAGAAAAAGCACUCAACAAUAGCAACCAGCCACCCAACCCCCAAAUCCCCUAAUGCUGGGUGGGAGAAGCCCUGGGGAGCUGGCAGACAGGUGAGCCGUCUCCCUUCUGGUUCUUACACUAGCCGUGAUUAAACCACCAUGAGAAGCAAAAGCUUAUUAAUUCCCUUGCGGAGGAGCAGGCUGCUCCAUUGUGGCAUUUUCCUUUCUCGGUAGAAAGGGGUGAAAAUCAUUUCUGCGUAGCCCACCCUUCCACCCUUGGCACUGUGGCCGCAAGCGUGAUCCAGGUCUGAGCAGGGGCGCAGGAUGCUGUGUGCUUGUCUGGGGUGUGUGGCCUCUUCCCUCAUUAACCUUUGCUGUUCCCUUUGUUCUUAUGACUGAGAGUAUCUCGUCCUUGACAACGGCCAUGUGUUCGGUUUCUCCAACACGGUGAGGUUGGCAUGUUGGCUUUUAGCCUCUAGAGCAGGUAAAGAACCAUCGAGCCUUGACAGAUACAAGAUCAAGUUCCUGAUUCACCCUGAUUUUCAUUUUGCACCGCUACCAUAGAAAAGAAAUGUGAAGCCAUGCGCAAUUAUGCUAUGGUAGGAAAUAAAUACUCUGGUGAUUAAAAACUGGAAAUCACUAGCUUGGAAAUGUCUCCAAAAAUACAGCCCCAGAUGUCACGCAAGCUCCAAUCAAACACGGGCUGUAAAAAAUCAAACUGCAGACAUUGCCUUGUAAAGUGUUCACAGAUGUAACAGCUGAAGAAAUUCUCGCAGCCUGGAAAGACACGACUUUUGCUUUUUUUCUUUUCUUUUUUUUUUUC